CCAGACUCCUACGGGAGGCAGCAGUGGGGGAUAUUGCACAAUGGGGGGAACCCUGAUGCAGCGACGCCGCGUGAGUGAAGAAGUAAUUCGUUAUGUAAAGCUCUAUCAGCAGGGAAGAAAAUGACGGUACCUGAAGAAGAAGCCCCGGCUAACUACGUGCCAGCAGCCGCGGUAAUACGUAGGGGGCAAGCGUUAUCCGGAUUCACUGGGCGUAAAGGGAGCGCAGGCGGCACGGCAAGUCUGAUGUGAAAGCCCGGGGCUCAACCCCGGGACUGCAUUGGAAACUGCCGGGCUGGAGUGUCGGAGGGGUAAGCGGAAUUCCUAGUGUAGCGGUGAAAUGCGUAGAUAUUAGGAGGAACACCAGUGGCGAAGGCGGCUUACUGGACGAUCACUGACGCUGAGGCUCGAAAGCGUGGGGAGCAAACAGGAUUAGAUACCCCAGUAC
rnacentral:rRNA from 1 species